rnacentral:rRNA from 1 species
GCGGCGGACGGGUGAGUAACACGUAGGCAACCUGCCUGUAAGACCGGGAUAACUCCGGGAAACCGGGGCUAAUACCGGAUGGGAUCUCUUUUCGCAUGGGAAGGGAUUGAAAGGAUGGCCGCAAGGCUAUCGCUUACAGAUGGGCCUGCGGCGCAUUAGCUGGUUGGUGAGGUAACGGCUCACCAAGGCGACGAUGCGUAGCCGGCCUGAGAGGGUGACCGGCCACACUGGGACUGAGACACGGCCCAGACUCCUACGGGAGGCAGCAGUAGGGAAUCUUCCGCAAUGGGCGCAAGCCUGACGGAGCGAUGCCGCGUGAGCGAGGAAGGCCUUCGGGUUGUAAAGCUCUGUUGUCAGGGAAGAACAAGUGCCGUUCGAUAAGGGCGGUACCUUGACGGUACCUGACGAGAAAGCCCCGGCUAACUACGUGCCAGCAGCCGCGGUAAUAC